AGCUCCAAUAGCGUAUAUUAAAGUUGUUGCAGUUAAAAAGCUCGUAGUUGGAUUUCUGGUGGGAGCGACCGGUCCGAUGCUUAGCAUGGGUACUUGCGUCGUCUCCGGCCAUCCUUGGGGAGAGUCUGUCUGGCAUUAAGUUGUCGGGCAGAGGAUCCUCAUCGUUUACUGUGAAAAAAUUAGAGUGUUCAAAGCAGGCUUAUGCCGUUGAAUAUAUUAGCAUGGAAUAAUAAGAUAGGACUUUGGUACUAUUUUGUUGGUUUGCGCACCAAAGUAAUGAUUAAUAGGGACAGUUGGGGGUAUUCGUAUUUCGUUGUCAGAGGUGAAAUUCUUGGAUUUACGAAAGACGAACUACUGCGAAAGCAUUUACCAAGGAUGUUUUCAUUAAUCAAGAACGAAA
rnacentral:rRNA from 1 species